UCCGGAGGGGGCUAUCGUUGUUCGGAAUUACUGGGCGUAAAGCGCACGUAGGCGGACUGGAAAGUCAGGGGUGAAAUCCCGGGGCUCAACCCCGGAACUGCCUUUGAAACUCCCAGUCUUGAGGUCGAGAGAGGUGAGUGGAAUUCCGAGUGUAGAGGUGAAAUUCGUAGAUAUUCGGAGGAACACCAGUGGCGAAGGCGGCUCACUGGCUCGAUACUGACGCUGAGGUGCGAAAGCGUGGGGAGAAAACAGG
rnacentral:rRNA from 1 species